rnacentral:rRNA from 1 species
UACGGAGGGGGCAAGUGUUGUUCGGAAUUACUGGGCGUAAAGGGCGCGCAGGCGGCUUGGCAAGUCGAGUGUGAAAUACCUCAGCUUAACUGAGGAAUGGCGCUCGAAACUACCUCGCUUGAGGGCGGGAGAGGGAAGUGGAACUCUCGGUGUAGGGGUGAAAUCUGUAGAUAUCGAGAGGAACACCGGUGGCGAAGGCGGCUUCCUGGCCCGUACCUGACGCUGAGGCGCGAAAGCGUGGGGAGCAAACAGG